CCCAGGCACCCCUCCUCCUUCCUUUUAAAUGCAGCAUUACUUUGUCUUUGCCUUAUGUUGCUGGUUUGGUACCUUUUAUUAAUUAUGUGUUGGAAAGUCCUGUCCUCACUGGAGUGCUAGCUCCAUGAGGCAAAGAAUUUCUUUAUGUUUCGUUUGCUACUUAAUGUCAAGAGCCUAGAACAGUGCCUGGUACAUAGUAGGUGCUCAAUAAACAUUGACUUAAUGAUGCCAUAAAUGCCUCUCCCUGACCAAACCAAAUGUUACUUGGGGACAGGACUAGUCCCCUCAUCCAUAAAUUUCUCGGUGGAAUGACACAGGCCAGCGGGCUGUGUGGUCUGUGGUCCUCCCUCUCUUGGAAGGCUGAGGAGGAGGUGUGUUGAAUUCUCACCCUGUUGGUGACUACAGGUUAAGUUAUCCACUUCAAGCAGAAGAGAUCCUUUCCAAGAUGCUUACAGAUAGACAUGGAAGAAACACGAAAAGCCAAGACCAGCUCUGGUGUCCGUGGCAGGAGUUUUUCACUUCUGGUGCUCACCCGCCCCUCCCAGGAAACAUCUCUGAUGGGUUGCGGGGCGGGGGUGGGGGGACGCAGGAAGGGCGUGUGCUGGUUGUCACAACCGAGUCUUCCCCUCUGGUCACCUCUGACGGGAAGUGUGUGGUAAGUCACGUGGAGGCAGAAUGUCUGGCCCUGUCUGAGAAGCCCCGCCUCUGUUUAAAAAAAAAAAAAUGGGUGCGCACAAAGGAACACGGAGAGAAGAAGCUUUAUUGCAGUGUGCACAAUUUGAUUUAUAGCAGAUAUGAAGUCUGGCUGAUGGAAGAAUCAAAUCCAAUUCUGAUGGUCUAAUAAUAUCUUUGAGUAGGUGCCCUGAGGAGAAAGUCUGAGUAGAUAACCUUGAAGACUCAGAGAGCUACGAAGAUUUUGAAGUCAUUCGACAUCUGAAGCUAUGAUUUAAAUAUCAGCAGUACACUUUCAGAAAGAAUUCUUGCUUGAAGAUAAAGAACAGCGCACUAACUACAAAGGAGGAAUCAAUGCUAAGCUUUUAACUGCAC